GUAACGCGUGAGUAACCUGCCUCUCAGAGGGGGAGUAACGUCCUGAAAAGGACGCUAAUACCGCAUGACAUCCCGGGGCCGCAUGGUCCUGGGAUCAAAGGAGCAAUCCGCUGAGAGAUGGACUCGCGUCCGAUUAGCUAGUUGGUGAGAUAAAGGCCCACCAAGGCGACGAUCGGUAGCCGGACUGAGAGGUUGAACGGCCACAUUGGGACUGAGACACGGCCCAGACUCCUACGGGAGGCAGCAUG
rnacentral:rRNA from 1 species